GAGGGUAUAGCUCAGUGGUAGAGAGCACUGUGCUUAGUAUGCACAAGGUCCUGGGUUCAAUCCCCAGUACCUCCA
rnacentral:tRNA from 1 species